rnacentral:rRNA from 1 species
CUGGGUUUGACAUGCACUGGAAAGCCAUAGAGAUAUGGUCCCUUUUAGUCGGUGUACAGGUGGUGCAUGGCUGUCGUCAGCUCGUGUCGUGAGAUGUUGGGUUAAGUCCCGCAACGAGCGCAACCCUCGUCCCAUGUUGCCAGCAGCACUCAUUCAGUUCGGCUGGGGUGGCUGGGGACUCAUGGGAGACUGCCGGGGUCAACUCGGAGGAAGGUGGGGAUGACGUCAAGUCAUCAUGCCCCUUAUGUCCAGGGCUUCACGCAUGCUACAAUGGCCGGUACAAAGGGCUGCGAUCCCGUGAGGGGGAGCGAAUCCCAAAAAGCCGGUCUCAGUUCGGAUUGGGGUCUGCAACUCGACCCCAUGAAGUCGGAGUCGCUAGUAACCGCAGAUCAGCAACGCUGCGGUGAAUACGUUCCC